GAUCAAAUGAGUUAAAAAUAUUGUUUAAUUUGGAUAAGUUCACUUUCUUGGAUAGUCGGAAUGUGUGUGAAUCAAUAUUAAGGGGUUGUAUUAAAGGAAGAAGCCUAAAGCUUGCUUUGAAGCUUCUUUCAAUGGCUAAGGAAUCUAACAGAGUGCUUGAUACCAGGGUGUAUGCUAAGCUAAAACUAGGCAAAUCUUUACAAUAAUUUUAUCCAGGUAAAAACUAAUAACCAC
rnacentral:lncRNA from 1 species